ensembl:lncRNA
CGGGAGGCUUGGGGUGGGGCGACACAGGAGCUCCGGAGCACGCUGCAGUGGUGACUGCAGGACCGCGGGGCUUAAAACGGCUGGGGGCCAGAGCUGAGCCAAGAGAAGCAGCACCUGCUGGCCGUGUCCAUGGAGAAAGUCUUCCUUCUCCAACAGGCAGAGUUGGUGAGGAUCUGAGGAUUGCACAGUGGAUGUCAGGGAUGACAACAAAGGUGGUGACCAUCCUGGAACAAAUUCUUCCGGUGGGAGGCCGUGCUCUUCUGUCUUCCCUUCAAGCUGCCCAGGGGCUUUUAGGGUGUGGCCAACAACACCUGGCUUUUCCCAGUUGGAAGAGGGAAAAGCAGAGUAGGGCUUGGCACAGACUGAGGAAGCUGGAGAAAUGGAGAGGAGCUUCGUCUCCAAGUUUUCCUGGAAGCAGAGUUUCAAAGGCUCCACCUUCGACUCAGUCUCUUUAACCAGGCUCUGGAGACUCUGUCCCAUCUGGAGAGCCUAGGAAUCACAACUGAGGAGGAAAGCUUCUCUUUCAUCAGCCAGGGAAUGGAUGGAGUUCCAGCCCUUGAUGGAGCUGCAUCUUCAGCCUGACAGUUAGGGAACCUGGCAGCAGAGGGCUGGGGGCAGUGAGGGCUGGCACCUUAAAGUUGGACAUUGAGUUUGAUGCGUUUCUUCAGUUCUUCAGCAUAACUUUGAUUUGAGUAAGUAUCACAGGCCAUUGACCAGUGUCUGCUCAGCCAGAAUUUGGGAGAUGUUUUGGGCUCCAAAGCUGAUUUGGGAAUUUGGGAAGAAAACUUAAAGGUUUUUAAGGGGUAAGAAAAGAGUCUGGGGUUUUAUUUCAUUCAUCUCACAAUCUGAAAUCUGCACCCCAAAACUUCCAACCUCCCAGGAGAAAUAUAAAACACGAUGCCUUAGGGGCACAUUCUUUCUGCUCCUCCAUCACUCUGGCCUGUCUUCAUCCCUAGCUAGUCCACCUCCUUUUACUCAGCAAAGGUCUAGAAGCAUGUCUGGGCAGGGGGUCACUUCCCCUAAAUGCUCCAACCUUCCCAAAUCCUCCUCCUUUUGCCUUCAAUCUGGAGAAGGGGGUAGCAGAGGAUAAGAUGGUUAGAUAGCAUCACAGACUUAAUAGAUAUGAAUUUGAGCAGACUCUGGGAAUAAUGGAGGACAGAGGAUCCUGGCAAGCUACACAAUCCAUGGGAUCUGGCCUACAUACAUGUGCUAAGUGGCUUCAGUCAUGUCCAACUCUUUGCAACCCUAUGGACUGUAGCCUACCAGGCCCAGCUGUCCGUGGGAUUCUCCACACAAGAAUACUGGAGUGCGUUGCCAUUUCCUCCUCCUGGGGAUCUUCCCAGGAAUUGAACCUAUGUCUCAUAUCUCCUGCAUUGGCAGAUGUGUUCUUUACCACUAGCGCCACCUGGGAAGUCAUCUGGUCUAUCUACACACACACAUUGCAUAAAUGAAGAAAGUGGAUAAGGAAG